AUACGGAGGGUCCGAGCGUUAAUCGGAAUUACUGGGCGUAAAGCGCGCGUAGGUGGUUCAGUCAGUCAGAUGUGAAAGCCCCGGGCUCAACCUGGGAACUGCACCUGAUACUGCUGAGCUAGAGUACGGUAGAGGGCAGUGGAAUUUCCGGUGUAGCGGUGAAAUGCGUAGAGAUCGGAAGGAACACCAGUGGCGAAGGCGACUGCCUGGACUGAUACUGCCACUGAGGUGCGAAAGCGGGGGUAGCAAACAGGAUUAGAUACCCUGGUAGUCCACGCCGUAAACGAUGUCAACUAGCCGUUGGGGGACUUGAUCCUUUAGUGGCGAAGCUAACGCGAUAAGUUGACCGCCUGGGGAGUACGGCCGCAAGGUUAAAACUCAAAUGAAUUGACGGGG
rnacentral:rRNA from 1 species